GCAAACUUGGUCAUUUAGAGGAAGUAAAAGUCGUAACAAGGUCUCCGUAGGUGAGUAAUACCUCGAGCCCCAUUUUCCGAUUGAAUUUUGAAUUAUAUGCUAACUGUUUUUAUAGGUGAACCUGCGGAGGGAUCAUUACCGAGCGAGGGCCCCGGCCCGACCUCCAACCCAUUGUCGACCAACACCCGUUGCCUCGGGGGCGACCCGGACGCCGACGCGUCGGCCGUCGGGCACCCCGGAGGACCACUCCAACUCUGUGUCCGUACGUCGGAGUACUUCGCGAAUCAAUCAAAACUUUCAACAACGGAUCUCUUGGUUCUGGCAUCGAUGAAGAACGCAGC
rnacentral:misc_RNA from 1 species